AUGCAACUAAUUGGCAGCAGAUUCCUCUCUGCUGCCAACACUGUGCUUAGAGUAACUUGCGUCGCUCCCACACACACAGCAGACAAGAUUUCCAACACGAACAGAUCAGCCAAGGAUUGUAGCAGUAGAGUAGACCCAGUUCCUUUCCGUAGAUCAAAGCCAGAAGCAGACGUUUGUAGAUUCCAAGUCCAAGAAGGGGGGAAGACAAGCCGUGGUCAGUUCAGUCCGAGUUUUCAAAACAGGAGAUGGCGUCCGUCAAGAAGACGACGGAAGGUCAAGCUAAUAAGAGUAAGCACAAGUUUGCACAAACAAAUGCCCACACAAUUCCUCCCGCCGUCUGACCCUGAAUUCCAAAACAACUUACGUCUCAGCACAGGUUUGCACAAACAAAUGCCCACACAAUUCCUCCCGCCGUCUGACCCUGAAUUCCAAAACAACUUACGUAUCAGCACACGAAAACACACCAGUCUUCAGGAAAGCGUCCCAGAAAGAUCCCAAGCGUUCGUCCAGAUUACCUUGCCCAACGCAAUUUGCAAUUGCUCCCAAGCCCCAUUUUAUGCCAGUUACAAAUCCUCAUCACUGUCAGCUGUCCUCCUUAACCCGGGCGUUUCCUCAUCACUUUCCUCAUCAGAGCUGGAACACCUCUGACUACGCCCCACAGCAUCUCCAGCUGUGGAUCCCGUCCCAUCCCUCCAGCUAUACCAUGGGUCUAAUCCUGAAGGUCCCCAUUCAUCUUCUAUCCCAUCAUGGCCAGUGGCACCCAAUUCCUCCCUCACCCGAGUCCAAUCCAUCUCAUCCUCCUCCGAGCUAACCAGCCCCUCCUCCAUUCUCUCCGUAAACCCCUCAAAAGACUCUUCGUCAGAUGGUGCUGCAAAAAUGUCUCGCAGUCUUUUUCUUUCUCGCUCCUCGAGAGUAUCUGACUCUCGAGGAGUCUUACGCCCACGUCUGUCAGUAACAGAGCCAUGAGGCUCAAUCAUAACACUAUCCCCUCUCACAAAGGCCUCCUCCCCCGAUGGCGGAGAAGUGGCAGUGAUACCCUCCACUAUAGCACCACGACGACUGGAGGUAUCUAGUUUCAACAGCGAACGAUGGAAAACUGGAUGGACCUUUAAACUAGACGGUAAACGCAAACGAAACGCAACGGAAGAAAUCUUUUUAACGAUAGGAAAGGGACCCAAAUACCGAGGCGCAAACUUUCCCCCAGCCUGUUUAAUAUGUUUGGAAGAUAACCACACCAAAUCCCCUUCUUCCAACUCCUCCCCUGCCUGCCUGUGGCGGUCAGCCUGAGUCUUUUGCGUUGCCUUAGCUUCCAACAGUAAGCGACGGGCAACAUCAUGCAAUGCAGCCAUUUCCGAAGAGCGGUACACAGGGUCCGAAGAGACCACAUUGGUCGACGGCGCCACACCUCCCCGUGGGUGAAAACCAUAAGUUAGCUCAAAUGGCGUAUGCUGACUAGACGUGUGCACCGCAUUGUUGUAAGCGAACUCCGCCACCGGUAACCACUUCACCCAAGCCGUGGGUUGAUCUAAACAAAAACAACGCAAAUACUGCUCUAAGAGCCCAUUAACCCGUUCCGACUGUCCAUCCGUUUGCGGAUGAAAGGCUGAAGAAACGUUUAACUUAGUCCCUAAGCACUCAUGGAAGUGUUUCCAAAAGCGUGACACAAAUUGCGGAGCCCUAUCUGAAAUAAUCACCUCGGGUGCUCCGUGCAAACGAUAGAUGUGCUUAGUAAAUAGUAAGGCCAACGUAGGGGCCGCCGGAAUGGUUGAACAAGGAAUAAAAUGAGCCAGUUUGCUAAAUAAAUCCACCACCACCCAAAUACAAGUAUAACCCCCAGACUUAGGCAAAUCCGAAAUAAAAUCCAUGGAAAUGAUUUGCCAUGGCCUCUCAGGAACAGGUAGAGACGACAACAACCCUCUAGGGCGCCCAACAGGCGUCUUACUCUGCUGGCAAACAGCGCAGCUGUCACAAAAGCGCAGAAUGUCUUGCCGCAUCUUUGGCCACCAGUAACUCCUGGUGAUAAGCUGUACGGUCUUGAACCUGCCAAAGUGCCCAGCCAUGGGUUCGUCAUGGUGGGCUCUAAUCACCUCCAACCUGAGGGCCCCCACUGGUACGUAGACCUGCCCCCUGCGUACCAAUACUCCGUCUUGAUCUUGUAGAUGAGGCAGUAUUGUACGGUUACCUGCUGAUAGCAGCAUCAGUUGCUCCUGAGUCCACACAUCAUCCCUCUGAGCCUCAAGGAUCUGGUCAUGUAACCCGAGCUCAUUAUCUACAACACAUAGAGAGGCAGUAGGCAAGAUGGUCUGACAUACUACCUGCUCAUUGGUCUUAAACUCCGGCUUGCGGGAUAAAGCAUCGGCCCGCAAGUUUGCCUUCCCCUCCACGAACUGCACCUUGAAGUUAAACCUGGAGAAAAACAAAGCCCAUCGGAUUUGACGCUGGUUUAACUUCUUUGCUGUUUGCAAGUGCUCUAAAUUCUUGUGAUCAGAUCUAACCACGAUCUGAUGCCGUGCCCCUUCAAGCCAGUGCCGCCACACCUCAAACGCCACCUUAAUCGCCAACAACUCCUUCUCCCAUAUGGUAUAGUUCUGCUCGAAGGGUGUUAGUUGCCGCGAGUAAAAUCCACAGGGACGCAAGGUCCCUGAGGAAUCCUUCUGAGACAAUACAGCCCCCAACGCGUAGCUAGAAGCGUCCGCUUCUACCACGAAAGGUUUAUCAACAUCAGGAUGUGUUAGUAUGUUGUCCGAUUGAAAACUAGACUUAAGUUGUAAAAACGCAUCGUGAGCUUCCCGCCCCCACACAAAUGGCUGUUUCUUACGCAGGAGCUGCGUCAAAGGUACCGUGAGCUUUGCAAAAUUCGGAAUAAACUCCCGGUAGUAAUUAGCGAAACCUAAGAACCUUUGCACAUCCUUCUUAGUCUUAAGCUCCUGCCAUGAGUUGACGGCGUCAACCUUAUGUGGGUCCAUUUUAAGUUCCCUACCUGACACUACAUGACCUAGGAACUCCACUUCAGGCACAUGAAAGACGCACUUGGAAGCCUUGGCGAAAAGCCCAUUAGCCCGCAGUCGGUGCAGAACCUGCUUGACAUGUUGACGAUGUUCUUUCUCGUCCUUAGAAAAAAUCAAGAUAUCAUCCAAAUAAAUCACUAAAAAUUGAUCAAUUAGGUCCCUGAACACAUCGUUCAUGAACCUCUGGAAUACCGCAGGAGCAUUACAAAGCCCAAAAGGCAUGACUCGGAACUCGUGGCAUCCGAAACACGUGUUAAAUGCCGUCUUCCAUUCAUCCCCUUCCCGUAUACGGAUUAAGUUAUAGGCCCCCCGCAGGUCAAGCUUGGUAAAGACCUUAGCCCCUUGCACCCUUGAUAACAGUUCCGAGAUUAAAGGGAGCGGGUACCUAUCCCGAAUGGUGUAUUUGUUUAGGAUCCGAUAGUCACAGACCAGCCUAAGUUCCCCAGUCUUUUUGGCUACAAAGAAUACUGGUGCCGCAGUUGGAGAGCUAGAUGGGCGAAUAAACCCCUUGGCUAAAUUUUCAUCUAGAAACUCUCGCAAAGCUUGCCUUUCCGGUACAGUCAAGGCAUACAGCCUUCCUGCUGGCAAUUUCGCACCUUCUGCUAGCUUAAUGGCGCAAUCAUAUGGCCUGUGCGGUGGUAAUUUGUCCGCUUCUCUUUUACAAAAUACAUCAGAGAACUCCCCAUACUCAGCAGGCACUCCCUCCAUAUCAGAUUGAGUAACAUUCAGAGUGCAACAAUCCUGCCUCUUUAAGGUCAAUUUACGUGUCGCCCAAUCUACUUGUGGGUUUACUACAGCUAGCCAAUCCAUCCCCAGGAUCACAUCAUAUCUAGGCAAGCUCGUAAUAUCCCACACAAACGUUCCCGUUACUCCCUGCACUUCCCACAUUACUGCUGAGGUUUCAUGGUUAACCACCCCAGUCUCCAGCAGUCUCCCAUCUGCUCCUUCCACCCACACGUCGCAUGCCUUGCGCACUCUAGGAAUGCCAUGCUUCUUAGCAAACUCAAUAUCUACAUAAGAGACCGUAGCCCCUGAGUCCAGCAGUGCCAAAGUAGAAACAAGUUCCCUUCCCCCAACAGAUAAUGUAAUGGGUACGAAAACAUGCUUCCUCCCCUCAGUUGACUGCUUGAGGAGCCCUAGUGCGUUGGACUCACGUCGCACUAGGGCUGGCCUUUUCCCGAAAGCUGAGAAGGUUUCACAUUACAGUUUUUGGCAAAAUGCCCAGCAUUCCCACAGUACAAACACA
rnacentral:lncRNA from 1 species